GACGAACGCUGGCGGCGUGCCUAAUAUAUGCAAGUAGAACGCUGAAGAGAGGAGCUUGCUCUUCUUGGAUGAGUUGCGAACGGGUGAGUAACGCGUAGGUAACCUGCCUUGUAGCGGGGGAUAACUAUUGGAAACGAUAGCUAAUACCGCAUAACAAUGGAUGACCCAUGUCAUUUAUUUGAAAGGGGCAAAUGCUCCACUACAAGAUGGACCUGCGUUGUAUUAGCUAGUAGGUGAGGUAACGGCUCACCUAGGCGACGAUACAUAGCCGACCUGAGAGGGUGAUCGGCCACACUGGGACUGAGACACGGCCCAGACUCCUACGGGAGGCAGCAGUAGGGAAUCUUCGGCAAUGGGGGCAACCCUGACCGAGCAACGCCGCGUGAGUGAAGAAGGUUUUCGGAUCGUAAAGCUCUGUUGUAAGUCAAGACACGAGUGUGAGAGUGGAAAGUUCACACUGAUGACGGUAGCUUACC
rnacentral:rRNA from 1 species